GCAAAAUGAAGUCGUUUAAGGCAAAUAGCAGUACAAAACAGAAGCAUCAUGAAUAAAGAUUGUGCAACAUCACCUCAGCACCAUGGAGUUCUAGCUAGCUAGCAUCUCCUCAGGGCCUUUCAUCAGUGAGCACAAAAAGAUCUCAGCCAUGGUAUUUGGAAAGAAUGACAACAAGAAAUGCAUAAGCAGACAAUAACAAUAAACAAGCAACUUUAUAUUACAUUCAACUCUAAUCUACUAUGCUAUUUGGUUUUUGUGUCUUCAGCAGAACAAUAAGCUCUGUAUGUUUGGUCGAAUGCAGGGGUUUAGGCUCAAUCAAUAAAGAGUUUCAGUGUGAAACUCUAUUGAUUCAUUGAGAGUGGAGAGCCUUUGGUGAGGUGAGUGAAGAGUUUUUUGAGUUUUUUGUGGUGGCUGCCGAUCUCCCAUUGAAUGAAACAUUCUGCUUUUUGUAGUGUGUAGGUUCGGUUCAGAUUUUAGGUUAUGAUGAAUUCAAACUUGGUUUGGAAUUAUGAAGGGAAAGAUACCAGGUGGACUUUUAUGUGAUAGUUUGUGUUUUUUCCAUUUUCUUGCUACUUCUCUGUUUUUGUCAUCUUGUGCACUUCACACUUUUUCUGAUUUUUGUGUUUGAAUUUGGGCUGCAAAUGAGCUUAAUGGGCCUGUUAUAAACUUUGAAUUUGAAUUCACUUGAUUUUUCUUCUUGCUUGGCAUAUUUGGUAGACUUGUGUUGCUUGUAAGAGAAAACACAUGAUAGAUAAUGGACACCCUCAAGAUAACUUUGGCAAGGACCCUUUGGAGUGAAACUUCAGCUUGAAUUCCUUUAGGUUUCAAGUAAAUUGUAAAGACCUGUGGCUUGUUGUAUCUCGUAACAUUUGAGAAUUUUGCAGCAACUUUGUAAUAAUUUGUCGCAGGUUGAAUGUAAUUAAUUUGAUCCACUA